CACUGGUACAGAGAAUCAAGAAGGGAGCAAAACAGGAAAGUGAAAAAUGAGAUGUUUGGCUUGGUUUUAUUUAUUUAUUUACUUUACCACUUGUCUGCUUCCUACAGUGCUACCACUAAUAGGGAGUCUGUCUUUAGAGGAAGCGCCACACACUUAAUCUUCUCUAAUUUUUUCCAUUGUGGUUUUCAGAGAAAAACAGUCACAGGAAGAGGGAGAGAGAAUAAGAAAAUUAUCAACCAUUUCUUUCUGUCUCUGUCAAUCGCAUUUUGAAAAAAGAAAAGAGAAAGAUUUACUAUAGAAUUAAGACGUACUAUGUACAGAUAAUAAUCCCUCUGAUGAAUCAUUAUUUACAGCAAAUGCACACUAGUAAAAAAAAGAUUGAAAGAGAUCAAAAAAGGAAGACACAUAUGGUAAACACUGCUGUCAGCUGUCAUCCAACAGAAAACCAGGCUCAUAAAAACAUCACAGUGUAUUCUCCUCGGACUUAUUCAACAUCGCUGGUAACUUCUGCCUCUUCUCCAAAGUCCAAAUGACCACAAAAGGCGAACAUUUUGAUUCAGUUCAUGACAUGGAGGCAGCCACAACAGCACAACUGAAGAGACUCAGAUAAAGGAUUUCCAGAUUUGCUUCAAAAAUAUUCAGUAUGACAGGGGGCAGCUUUCUUUCUACACUCUGUAUUCAUCUGAAUGGAGCUUUCUGCAGUACCUGGAAGCCUCCUUCAUGCGGUCAGUUGGUACGCCCUCACACGCCUCAGUUGUGACUCAUGCGGGCCACCUCAUGGGCCUCUCCUGCACCUUUCCUAUCUGCCUGUCCUUUCAAGCUUUAAAAUGAAGGAGACAAAAGAGGUGGCAAUCCUGAUUGGUGUCUGGCUGAACUGGGCUGCUUUAACAUUUGAAGAGAUGAUCACACUGUGCCUUUCAUUAUCUCCUCUUCUUUCCUACACUUAGCUUUUUGACUUAGCAAUACAUCCCAAAAGAAAUCCCUUAUCAGCUCUUAGAUCCCUGUCCUAUUCCUUCUUCUAAGUGCACUGCACUCUGUGGUAUGUUUAACUUACAAAAUCAAAUGAUUAUACACAGACAUGUAGGUGAGUAGCAAUAUUUUGCAAUUAUAAACAAACACAGCAAAUAAUCAUGUGCUUGCUGCAUUAUUUUGGAUACAUUUUU
rnacentral:lncRNA from 1 species